UGAGCUGUCCCAGCUAGCAUGGAAGUGGACGGCGGCCGAGGAAUAGUGAGACCGACCAGGGGUGGGCGGUACCCCGUGCAUAUGGCGUGUGCGGCGGCCGCUCCUUCUGCCGACCGCAUGGCGAUGGAAGCUUACGGGCUGGAAUUCCUCCUAGAUCCAGUAGAGUAGACUGGUUUCCACUUAGGGAGGGGUCUGCGGACAGUUUGGAACACCCAAAUCCGGUGCCUUUAGCGCUGCUGCCGCGCCCCGAGGUCGAACUCCGGGCCUGGCUGUGGGGGACUGCAACCAUGGGAUAUCCGGAUGUGAGGUUCGGUGAAGGAAGAAUGCUUCACCGACACGGUCUGCACAGUCCACUGGGAAGGUGAAUCCGGAAGUAGGGUGGACGAAGAGGAACAUCGCCUUGUGCAUUGCAAGAAGCUUGACCAUUGUAUUUUUGAUGAUGUUGGUAAGCUAUUAGUACUAAGAAAGAAAGGGAUUGAAGCGGUGAUAUUAUAUUUAGAAUGCGUAUACUUGCAAUUAAUGGAGCUAGUUCGGAUUGGAACGCCUCAGUGCCAUCUUAUGAUCUCGUGUUGGGUCGAAAGAAGGAUAUAAUAACGGAGGCAACACCGGUAGGUGAAACUGCAGAAUCAGCUCAUAAGAAAAUUACAGAGUCAGCCGCAGUGAGGCGGAUAUGAUGGAUAACGAGAACAACGUCACACUGUUGGGCAAUUGGCAUGCGCUAGCUGAUCUUGCAGCGCCAAUCAAGAUAAGGGGUGCUGGAAGACCAACAAUGAGUAGGGAGAAGGCGUCCUGUGAGGGUUUGAGUAAGCGGAAAAGGUUCUGCAGUAUCUGUAAACGCCCGGGGCACAAGCAGACUACAUGCCCAGAAAGUGAGGGGACUUGCCGAAGCAGCCUCGCAAGCCAGCAAGAUUCAAGUUGCAUUUUAGGAAAAUUAAGCUUGCAUGAAUAAAUUUGAGGAUUUUCUAGUGUACAAUUCGUACUGGAAAAAACGCACACUAAUAUUUUCAUAAGGAACUGUACUGUUUUUAUGAACUGAAUGUCAUUGUUUGUCUGUU